CCUGUGGCUAACGCCACAGGCUUUAACGUGCCGCCGCCCUGCGGCU
rfam:Planctomycetes bacterium RBG_16_64_10 RBG_16_scaffold_30261, whole genome shotgun sequence.